rnacentral:rRNA from 1 species
GAGAAUGCCGGUGUGAGUAGCGAAAGACGGGUGAGAAUCCCGUCCACCGAUUGACUAAGGUUUCCAGAGGAAGGCUCGUCCGCUCUGGGUUAGUCGGGUCCUAAGCUGAGGCCGACAGGCGUAGGCGAUGGAUAACAGGUUGAUAUUCCUGUACCACCUAUAAUCGUUUUAAUCGAUGGGGGGACGCAGUAGGAUAGGCGAAGCGUGCGAUUGGAUUGCACGUCUAAGCAGUAAGGCUGAGUAUUAGGCAAAUCCGGUACUCGUUAAGGCUGAGCUGUGAUGGGGAGAAGACAUUGUGUCUUCGAGUCGUUGAUUUCACACUGCCGAGAAAAGCCUCUAGAUAGAAAAUAGGUGCCCGUACCGCAAACCGACACAGGUAGUCAAGAUGAGAAUUCUAAGGUGAGCGAGCGAACUCUCGUUAAGGAACUCGGCAAAAUGACCCCGUAACUUCGGGAGAAGGGGUGCUCUUUAGGGUUAACGCCCAGAAGAGCCGCAGUGAAUAGGCCCAAGCGACUGUUUAUCAAAAACACAGGUCUCUGCUAAACCGUAAGGUGAUGUAUAGGGGCUGACGCCUGCCCGGUGCUGGAAGGUUAAGAGGAGUGGUUAGCUUCUGCGAAGCUACGAAUCGAAGCCCCAGUAAACGGCGGCCGUAACUAUAACGGUCCUAAGGUAGCGAAAUUCCUUGUCGGGUAAGUUCCGACCCGCACGAAAGGCGUAACGAUUUGGGCACUGUCUCAACGAGAGACUCGGUGAAAUCAUAGUACCUGUGAAGAUGCAGGUUACCCGCGACAGGACGGAAAGACCCCGUGGAGCUUUACUGUAGCCUGAUAUUGAAAUUCGGCACAGCUUGUACAGGAUAGGUAGGAGCCUUUGAAACGUGAGCGCUAGCUUACGUGGAGGCGCUGGUGGGAUACUACCCUAGCUGUGUUGGCUUUCUAACCCGCACCACUUAUCGUGGUGGGAGACAGUGUCAGGCGGGCAGUUUGACUGGGGCGGUCGCCUCCUAAAAGGUAACGGAGGCGCUCAAAGGUUCCCUCAGAAUGGUUGGAAAUCAUUCAUAGAGUGUAAAGGCAUAAGGGAGCUUGACUGCGAGACCUACAAGUCGAGCAGGGUCGAAAGACGGACUUAGUGAUCCGGUGGUUCCGCAUGGAAGGGCCAUCGCUCAACGGAUAAAAGCUACCCCGGGGAUAACAGGCUUAUCUCCCCCAAGAGUUCACAUCGACGGGGAGGUUUGGCACCUCGAUGUCGGCUCAUCGCAUCCUGGGGCUGUAGUCGGUCCCAAGGGUUGGGCUGUUCGCCCAUUAAAGCGGUACGCGAGCUGGGUUCAGAACGUCGUGAGACAGUUCGGUCCCUAUCCGUCGUGGGCGUAGGAAAUUUGAGAGGAGCUGUCCUUAGUACGAGAGGACCGGGAUGGACAUACCUCUGGUGUACCAGUUGUCGUGCCAACGGCAUAGCUGGGUAGCUAUGUGUGGACGGGAUAAGUGCUGAAAGCAUCUAAGCAUGAAGCCCCCCUCAAGAUGAGAUUUCCC